rnacentral:tRNA from 1 species
UCCCUGGUGGUCCAGUGGUCAGGACUCUCUGCUUUCACUGCUGGAGCCCAGGUUCGAUCCCUGGUCAGGGAA